GGACUUGGAGCUUGCCUUUGAAGCUUGGUGGUGGACCAAUCUUCAACCUAAGAGGAUUUUGGACUUGGUUUGGAGCUUCCCAGUGGUAUAUGACUAGUUCUUCUCCUCUAGAUCCUAGUUUUGGAGCUUUUUGCUUGAUGAAACCCUAGAUUGGGAUUCUUGGGUUAGAUUUGGGGCUUUUUGGAUUUGAGGGCUUUGAACCUAAUUGAUGGGUUUGGAACAUUUAAUUAGGUUGGAUUUGAAGAACUCUAACUCCCAUUUGGAGCUUGAGAGAGGAUUUCUUCACUUAGGUGAGUUUUUCUCCACCUUAGCCUAUGUUGCUUUUGUUUGAGCUUAGGGUUGAUCGUAAGAUUUGUUUGACCCUUGUUCCUACAUCUUUAGGGUGCUAGGAGAUUAGUCGACACCUUCGUCGGGGCUUACGAAGGGUUUCGGUAUCAUCGGUGGGUUUGGCUUCAUGAACACGAAGCAAAAUGGCCCCUAUGUUUUCUAUACUUGUCGUAGAGUAUUUUUGAAUGCAAAUCCAUGCUAAAUAUGAAUUAUGUGAAUUUUAGAACGCUUGAAAUGCAUGCCUUAUGUAUUCAUGAAAUUGCACUCUAUAUAGUAGAGCUAUAUGUGUAAACUGCAUGCAUUGUGGAAGGUGGUUAGCUUUGCAAAUUGAGAACAUAUCUCUUAUGUUUGAAAUGAGUAAAAUUAUAUAUUCAUGAACAUAGGUACCAUGCUUGGACUCAUUGAACAAUAGUGUCAUAAAGGGGCACUUGAAACUAGUAAACUGUGAAAAUGUAACAUAGAGACAUAGUGAUAGGCCAUUGGACGUCGACUAUAUUCCAUGUUAGAGACAUGACGACAUAGUGAUAGGCCUUUGUGACAUUCGAUAUAUUCCAUGCUUUAGACAUGAGGACUUGGUAUUUGAGACAGACUUAUACGCAUGCUUGCCAUUGUGCUCAUUCGCACAUGCUUGUGAGGAUCGCUCUCUACAAGCCGGCACUCCGGAGUUGGCCAUCGCGAUAUAUUCGCUGUGUGGGAUUGGGCGCCGAAGUGGAUUGCCGUGGGAAAGGCUCAUUUCUAGGGUGGGGAUGUGACUACCACGGGGCCAUUAGGCACGGUAAAGCCAGACAGCCUUCAGGUGGGUCUUAUGCCAGACAGCCUUCGGGUGGGUCUUAUCAGAGUUGAACUUUAAACAGUUAAAGUGACAAGUGGACAUUGGCUAGAAUAGUGAACAUUGACAUUAUUGCUAUUCACAUUGUGAGCAUUGGGAUAGUUGCAUAUUUUUGCAUUUACAUGUUGGAUACUCUUGUGCAUAUUCUUGUAGUAGUUACUUUCUUGUUUAUGCAAAUUCUGCUAAGUAGAGACAUCAUGGUUGAGUAGUAAUCCUGUUUAUUUUCUAGUUGUUUUUAUCGCUUUUGGCUUAUGCUUAUACACUGACCCUUUUGUUGUAGCCUUUGGGCCUAGUGGCGCAUUCACUGAAGUCAGUAAUUGCCCACUGGGAACUAUUAUUUAAUAGUUCUCACGCCUCUAUUUCUAUGUUUUCUUUUCAGAGCCUUCGGCACCGGCGGAGGCGCGGGAUCGCGGCAAGGGUGCCGCGUAGUUAGCUCGGAGAGAGAGUCCGUUCUGCUUUAGGUGGUUACUCAUCCUUUGUUUGUGUAGAGAGAAUGAUAGAUUUUGCACCAUGUAUAGAGAGACCACAUUGUAUUCAGACUAGUACUUGUUAUGGGACUCCUUUUGUAUUAUCUUAUGUUUACUUAGUGGAUUACCAGUUUUAUGUUCUUCUCCUUGUUGUAGCACUUCGUAGUAUUUUGCUCUGAUACACUUAGAUGCUUUCUUUUUAUUGUUUUAUUUACCGCUUUAUUUUAAACGCCUUGUAUGUUUUAGACGUACGGCAGGUCUGGACACGCGCCGUGCGGGCUCCCGCUGGGUCCCGGGGCGUGACAAAUUAGUUUGGUAUCAGAGCCUAGGGUUGAGUCUUAGUGGACCUAGCAAACCUUAGGCUGAUUGGACUAUUGGAUAUAGGCUCGUGAGUGACGAGAUCUAUUUGAUUUGUAAGAGAAAGUAUCUUGAUUAGGUAUCUUUGAUAACUCUAGAAAGUGGAGUUAGAUCGAAGUGUACAGCCUCUAACUUCGCGGAGGGUUACGUUGGCGGCCGACAACGUAACAUUGGGAGUUAGUGGUGAAGAACACUUCCUUACUUUCGCAUGAUUUGGGUAUUGUCUAUUUGAGCGGGGAUCCGAUAGCGUGGGUCUUACUAACUUACGCUUUUAUGAUAUUGUAGUGUGAUGCCGAUUACACGCUACCAAUCUGAGCGGAUAACGUGGCAAACCUGGAGGAGGUUGAGACCUCCGCUACCUCCGGAUCCGGCGAGGUCCGUGAGUUGAGGGGCCAGCUUGCGGCCCUCACUGAUAUGGUGGCAUAGCAGACUGAGGCGGCGCGCCGACAGGAGGCGCGGAUGAAGCGUCUGGAGGAUCUCCUACUACAGCAGACGGAGGCUCGGGAGACUCAGGCCCCUACACCGCCAGCACCGGUUGUGGACGUCGCGCCGAGAGCGCCAUCCCGAGCGCCCAGUUCGUCGCGAGCACCACCCGCGGUAGCGCCUCAGGAGGAGGCUAUUGGGGCACCACCUGUGCAGAGGCCCCCGAUUGGAGCUGUUUUUUUCGUGAUGGCUGACGGGGCAGAGCGGGACCGACUGAUGGAGCGCCUCAAUUAGUUCAGGAGGUGUAGCCCCAGGAUUUUCGAUGGCGAGAAGGUCGACCACUGGAACGUGAAAAAGUGGUUGAUGCAUAUGGAGAAGCUCUUCCGCGAUACCUUCGUGGAGGAGAGGGAUCGAGUUUGGCUCGCCACUCAUCAUCUGGACGGCGAGGCCUAUCACUGGUGGUUGGAUCUCCAGGAAAACCCCAGCACUGACUUGACGGCUAUAUCUUGGACGAGGUUCAAGGAGCUUCUAUUGGCUCACUACUUCGCGACCAGCGUCAAGCGGAAGAUGGAGCAGGAUCUGCACAACUUGCGCCAAGGUGAUCGAACUGUUGCCGAGUACGAGCGGGAGUUUUCUCGGCUUCUUCAUUGCGUGCCUUUCGUCGUGCGGGACGACGAGGACAAUGCCCGCAUCUUCGAGCGAGGGUUGCGACCGUCGAUUUUCCGGUUUGUGCAAUCCACUAACCUCCAAACCUACCGGGAGGUGGUGAUCCGCGCGCUCAUAGUGGAGAGCGGCGCAGCAGAGGUCCAGGAGCGACGAGAGGCCAUGGACAAAGGCAAGGCCAAGAGGCCUGCGGCUGAGGGUGCGAGCCAGACGCACUCUAGGAGGCCACCGAAGCAUCCUAGGAGCCAGCAGCGUGGACGAGGCUCAGCAGCGCAGUGAGGAGGAUCUGACCGACGCCGGCCCUCCCCGUGUGUGAUCUGUGGUGGUCCUCAUCACCCACCGCACUGUCCACAGCGGGCGGGCAGGUGCUUCCAGUGUGGCCAGGAGGGCCACGUGCGGACUGAGUGCCCGAGAAGUUCUUCACCGGCACCGUCGACUCCAUCGGCACCGGCUCUACCAGCCGCCAGCCACGGGACUCCGUCGACACGGUACCAGCCUGGGCGGCCACCCGUCGUAUGCCGCUCAGACUGAGUAGGCGGCAGGAGCUGAGGAUGUGGUUGCAGGUAUCAUUUUACUUGAUGGCAUUAGAGUUCGUGUUUUAUUUGAUACCGGUGCAUCGCAUUCAUUUAUAGAUCGGCUGUUUGCCGAGUUGCAUGGCAUCCCUUUGGUUUCUUUAUUGCAUCCGGGACAUGUUGUAGUACCCGACCACACUCUGGAUAUUAGAGAGUAUUGCCCUAGUUGCCCCGUUCGGGUAGGAGCUUAGAUCAUGCCCGUAGAUUUGCUAGCCCUGCGCAAGCUAGGGGUUUCGAUGUGGUCUUGGGUAUGGAUUGGCUAACCAAGUAUUAUGCCACGAUAGAUUGCAAGAAUCGCACGGUUACUUUUAGAGAACCAGGACAGACUGAGGUUGUGUUUAGAGGAUGCCGGAGUUCGCUUUUUGCGAUGUCGAUCAGCUCGUCUCGAGCUAGGCAGCUGAUCAGCCGAGGAUGUGUAGCCUACUUGGCUAGUGUUGUGUUGAGGGGCGAGGAUGGCACCCCUAGGAUUGAGGAUAUCCCGGUGUUACGGGAGUUCCAGGACGUGUUUCCAGCAGAGUUAUCGGGUAUGCCACCCGAUAGGAAGAUCGAGUUUGUAGAAGAUCUCGUCCCUGGGACUACCCCAAUCUCAAAGGCACCCUAUAGGAUGGCACCAGCGGAACUGAAGGAGCUGAGGGCACAGCUACAGGAUUUGUUGGACAAGGGCUUCAUUCGACCGAGCGUCUCGCCGUGGGGAGCGCCAGGUUUGUUCGUCAAGAAAAAGGAUGGAUCACUUCGCCUAUGUGUGGAUUAUCGUGAACUUAAUAAAGUCACGAUCAAGAAUAAGUAUCCGUUGUCGAGGAUCGACGAUUUAUUUGAUCAGCUUCAAGGAUCGUGUGUGUAUUCCAAGAUAGAUUUGCAGUCGGGACACCACCAAUUAAAGAUCAAACCCGAGGAUGUAUCGAAGACGGCUUUUAGAAUACGGUAUGGACAUUAUGAGUUCACAGUGAUGCCGUUCGCGCUUACUAACGCCGCGGCAGGUUUUAUGGAUCUGAUGAACCGUGUUUUCAAGCCUUACCUGGACAGAUUUGUCGUGGUGUUCAUCGACGAUAUUUUGGUUUAUUCCCGAAGUGAUGCGGAUCAUAAGAAACAUUUGAGGCUUGUAAUUCAAAUACUUCGGGAAAAGGAGCUUUAUGCCAAGCUGAAAAGUGUGAAUUUUGGCUUCGAGAGGUAGCCUUCCUUGGACAUUUGAUAUCGGGAUCGGGUAUAGCCGUGGAUCCUAAGAAGAUUAAAGCAAUCAAGGAUUGGCCGAGACCGACGAGCGUCACGGAGAUUCGGAGCUUCCUUGGAUUGGCCGGUUAUUAUCGGAGAUAUGUUGAGGGGUUUGCUAAGUUGUCUACUCCCCUCACGAGGCUCACGCAUAAAGGCGUUAAGUUCAUCUGGAAUGAUGCGUGUGAGAGAAGCUUCCAAGAGUUGAAGCAAAGAUUGACGACCGCCCUGAUCCUGACCCUACCUAUUGCUGGAGCAGGGUAUGUGGUUUUUAGCGAUGCAUCUCUUAAUGGAUUGGGCUGCGUUCUGAUGCAGGAUGGCAAGGUGAUCGCGUAUGCUUCUCGCCAACCGAAGGAAUAUGAAAAGAAUUACCCUACGCACGAUUUGGAGUUGGCGGCCGUAGUCUUCGCAUUGAAGUUAUGGCGCCACUACUUGUAUGGCGAGCGGUGUGAAGUAUACACGGAUCACAAGAGCUUGAAGUAUUUGUUCACUCAGAAGGAGUUGAACUUGAGACAGCGCAGAUGGUUGGACCUGCUCAAAGAUUAUGAUUUGAUGAUUCUUUACCACCCGGGCAAGGCUAACGUGGUAGCUGAUGCGCUAAGUCGGAAAUCGACAGAAAACUUAGCGAUGCAUGUUGUUACUCAACCGCAGUUGAUCGAGCAAAUGAAGCAGUUGGAGUUGGAGGUGGUGACUCCUGACAUGCCUUUGAGGUUGAUGACGCUGGUGGUGCAACCUACACUUUUGGAUCGAAUUAAAGAAAAGCAAACUUCCGAUGUGGAGUUGCAAAAGAUUAAUGGUAAAAUAGUUGAUGGUUGCACCGGCGAUUUUCUUGUGGAUGACCAAGGAUUGAUGCGUUUCCGUGGACGGAUUUGUGUACCGGCGGAUUCAGGAAUUAAAGAAGAUAUUCUUCAAGAAGCGCACCGAGCGCCCUACGCUAUACAUCCGGGAGGCACCAAGAUGUAUAAGGAUUUAAAGUUGCUUUAUUGGUGGCCCGGGAUGAAAAAGGACGUUGGCAAGUUUGUAGCUUGUUGUCUAUCCUGCCAACAAGUAAAGGCUGAGCAUCGAUUACUCGCGGGAAAACUCCAGAGUUUGCUUCUUCCCGUGUGGAAGUGAGAGAAGAUCACCAUGGAUUUUGUGACAUGAUUGCCUCGCUCUCAGGCCGGGCAUGAUGCUAUAUGGGUGAUCGUGGAUAGGUUGACGAAGUCGGCGCACUUCAUACCUAUUCAUACGACUUGGACCGGAGAGAAGCUCGCACAAGUGUACCUUGAUGAGAUUGUGCGACUUCAUGGGGUGCCUACCUCGAUUAUAUCGGACCGAGACACUCGGUUUGUGCCUCACUUCUGGAGAAGUCUACAGGACGCCAUGGGCACCCGACUCGACUUCAGCACUGCUUUCCACCCUCAGAGUGAUGGGCAGAAGGAGUGCACUAUUCAGACCAUAGAGGAUAUGCUCCGAGUAUGUGUGAUAGACUUCCAGGGAGGAUGGUCGCAGCAUCUACCGAUGGCGGAGUUUGCGUAUAACAACAGUUAUCAAGCAAGCAUUAAGAUGGCACCAUUCGAAGCACUUUAUGGACGAAAGUGUAGAUCGCCACUUCAUUGGAGUGAAGUUGGCGAAAGAUUGGCAUUAGGCCCUGAUGUGCUCCAGGAAGCUGAGGACAAGGUUCGAAUUGCUCGGGAGCGACUUGUGACAGCGCAGAGUAGACAGAGGAGCUACGCCGACCGACGACGGCGAGACUUGGAGUUCCAAGUUGGAGACUAUGUUUUCUUGAAGGUCUCGCCGACUAGAGGGAUCAAGAGAUUUGGGAUUCGGGGUAAGUUGAGCCCCCGUUUCAUUGGACCGUAUGAGAUCUUGGAACGGAUAGGUCCGAUAGCGUACCGACUUGCUCUACACCGAACCUAUCUGGCGUGCACAACGUCUUUCAUGUAUCGGUCCUUCGGAAUUAUGUCUUCGACCAGACUCAUGUGUUGGAUGCUACACCUGUAGAGUUGUGGGACGAUUUGAGCUUCGAGGAGCAACCCGUGAAGAUCUUGGCUCGCGAGGUGCGGAAACUGCGGAAUCGGGAUAUUCUGUACGUGAAGGUUCUUUAGAGCAACCACAGGGAGCGAGAAGCCACAUGGGAGCAAGAGAACGCGAUGCGGGAGCGCUAUGCCCAUCUUUUUCAAAUGGAGCCUUGCGGUAUGUUGUCGUUUUGAGUUUUGCGGACGAAACUCUUUUUUAGGAGGGGUGAAUGUAGCACAUUGGACCUUUGCAAAUUGUGAGGUUCGAGUGUUUGAUGUGUACUCCGAACUUUUCCACACUUGGUGGAAGGCCAUAGAUGGUAUUCCGGCCUAAAAGUUAGAUCUCUAGAGUUUUGACUUAGUCCUGAGAGUUUUCACUCUCGGGGACCGGUCCCUGAGAUGAGAGACCGGUCCCCUCAGAGCAGCACUACGGCAGGACUUGAGGCAACCGGUCCUUGGCUGGGAGAGACCGGUUCCCAAGCGCGUGUUCUGUGUAAGGGGUCCGAAAGACCCGUCCCUAGCGGGGAGCGACCGGUUCCCGAAUGUGGGAUUUUCGGGGCAGACUGAGUGACCGGUCCCAAGUCGGGGAGACCGGUCCCUCUGGGCGAAAACUGCCCAGACCGGGCUGAUGUGAAUUUGAGUUUUUGAGGGGCUUUUCUAGAUUUUGUUGCACUAGAUGGUCUAUAUGACCCUUUCACUCUCUUCCCUCCUCAUUUCUCCCCUUCACACCCAUUCUAGAAAGAGAAGAAGAGAGGGAGAAGGAGAGGAAGAAGAAGGAGAAUGAGAGGAUCUUGCUUGGAGGCCUUGGAGCACUAUCUUCUUCCCCAUUUUUCAUCUUUGGCGGACUUGGAGCUUGCCUUUGAAGCUUGGUGGUUGACCAAUCUUCAACCUAAGAGGAUUUUGGACUUGGUUUGGAGCUUCCAAGAGGUAUGUGACUAGUUCUUCUCCUCUAGAUCCUAGUUUUGGAGCUUUUUGCUUGAUGAAACCCUAGAUUGGGAUUCUAGGGUUAGAUUUGGGGCUUUUUGGAUUUGAGGGCUUUGAAACCUAAUUGAUGGGUUUGGAACCUUUAAUUAGG
rnacentral:lncRNA from 1 species